AGUGGAAGCGUCUGGAAAGUCGCGCGAUACAGGGUGACAGCCCCGUACACAAAAGCGCAUGUGUUGUGAGCUCGAUGAGUAGGGCGGGACACGUGGUAUCCUGUCUGAAUAUGGGGGGACCAUCCUCCAAGGCUAAAUACUCCUGACUGACCGAUAGUGAACCAGUACCGUGAGGGAAAGGCGAAAAGAACCCCGGCGAGGGGAGUGAAAAAGAACCUGAAACCGUGUACGUACAAGCAGUGGGAGCCCCACCACCAAAGCAUUCUCUGGUGUUGAAGGCCCUGCAAAGCAGCAUCGCGGUGGCGGAGCGUCGUUUGCGACGCCCAACACAAAAAACAAGCGGUGAGUGCUUUGGGGUGGGGUGACUGCGUACC
rnacentral:rRNA from 1 species